rnacentral:lncRNA from 1 species
GUGGAUCUAUGGGUCCAGGUGUGGUCAGAUCUAUGGGGUGAUUACUGGGGUUGGAUGUGAUGGGUAGUAAUUCUUAUGGGUCAGAUCUAUGGGUCAGUCUAUGGGUCCAGGUGUCUGUGUGCGUCAAUCUAUGGGUCCGGGUGUAUCUAUGGGUCAGAUCUAUGGGUGCAGGUGGAUCUAUGGGUCAGUAUAUGGGUUGGGUCUAUGGGUCCAGGUGGAUCUAUGGGUCAAUCUAUGGGUCCAGGUGGGUCUAUGGGUCAGAUCUAUGGUCCAGGUGGAUCUAUGGGUCCAGGUGUGGGUCAGAUGUAUGGGGUUGUAUCUAUGGGGUGAUGUAUGGGUCAGAUCUAUGGGUCAGUGUUGUGGACCAUAGAUCUGACCCACAUAUGGACCCAUAG